UACGUAGGGUGCAAGCGUUGUCCGGAAUUACUGGGCGUAAAGAGUUCGUAGGCGGUUUGUCGCGUCGUUUGUGAAAACCAGCAGCUCAACUGCUGGCUUGCAGGCGAUACGGGCAGACUUGAGUACUGCAGGGGAGACUGGAAUUCCUGGUGUAGCGGUGAAAUGCGCAGAUAUCAGGAGGAACACCGAUGGCGAAGGCAGAUCUCUGGGCCGUAACUGACGCUGAGGAGCGAAAGCAUGGGGAGCGAACAGG
rnacentral:rRNA from 1 species